GAUGAACGCUGGCGGCGUGCCUAAUACAUGCAAGUCGAGCGAACAGACGAGGAGCUUGCUCCUCUGACGUUAGCGGCGGACGGGUGAGUAACACGUGGAUAACCUACCUAUAAGACUGGGAUAACUUCGGGAAACCGGAGCUAAUACCGGAUAAUAUAUUGAACCGCAUGGUUCAAUAGUGAAAGACGGUUUUGCUGUCACUUAUAGAUGGAUCCGCGCCGCAUUAGAUAGUUGGUAAGGUAACGGCUUACCAAGGCAACGAUGCGUAGCCGACCUGAGAGGGUGAUCGGCCACACUGGAACUGAGACACGGUCCAGACUCCUACGGGAGGCAGCAGUAGGGAAUCUUCCGCAAUGGGCGAAAGCCUGACGGAGCAACGCCGCGUGAGUGAUGAAGGUCUUCGGAUCGUAAAACUCUGUUAUUAGGGAAGAACAAAUGUGUAAGUAACUAUGCACGUCUUGACGGUAACUAAUCAGAAAGCCACGGCUAACUACGUG
rnacentral:rRNA from 1 species